rnacentral:SRP_RNA from 1 species
GCCGGGUGCAGUGGCUUACACCUGUAAUCCCAACACUUUGGGAGGCUGAGGUGGGUGGAUCACCUGAGGUCAGGAGUUUGAGACCAGCCUGGCCAACAUGGUGAAACCCCACCUCUA